rfam:Anaerobacillus macyae strain DSM 16346 scaffold2, whole genome shotgun sequence.
CAAAGCAAGCAGAAGCGCCCGCUUCUCACCUGAUUGACGCCGUAACUGGUAGUUUGCAGGUACACUGUUUUUAUAAUUGUGUAAUGUGUGGGUGUCGUAUGCGCCGACGCUUUUUUUAUGCU